UGAGUUGACAAAGUCUGUAGUUGAAGAAAACAUAUCAACCCAGCCAUGUCAAUCGACAUCAAAGUCAACACCUGUUCCAGGAAACACAACUACACUUAAUGGCUACCAGCAUACAUCGCAGGAUACUUAUGAACAAGAAGGUGGAACGUCACACAUUGCUGAACUGUUGUUUAGUGAAGAUGAUGAUGAUGAUGGAGAUGAUACGUCACAUGAAUUUGAAGGAAUGCCAGCUAAUUUUUUAUGUGGUGGGGAGUAUUUGGAAAAAACACUGACUCUCAAGAAAAUUUUACAGCAUUUUGCAGUGUCGACGAAUCAAAAGAAAAGUCAUAUGACAUACUUGUUGAAACUUUUGAUUGAAUAUCAGCCUCUUCCAGCCUACGACUCAUUGCCAGCUACAGGCCAGCAGUUACUUUAUAUAGAUGGGAGAGAUGUAGUGAAUCAAAGAAGCGCACAAACCUUGAAUUGUCACAAACACCUAGCUCUACUGAACAACCGACGAGAAAAAAAAAGAGAAAACCGAUACCUUUACCCCCUGUUAUAAAUUUGGACGACGAGGGCAAUACCCUAUACGUGCACUUUGGGCUAGAAAACGCAUUAUGUGGUGAUUCUGUUGGCAUCUAUUUUAAACACGCGGAUAUUCUCCAGUAUGCUGGCAUCUAUAGGACAAAUCCUGAAGCUUUGCCCUUUUGUUUAAGAAACAAGAUUUACAAGAUGGAUAAGAAAGUUGAAGUGGAGCAGGCCAAAGCAUUUCUUCAAGGCCGUCGCUUGGAUGAUACGGACAACGCAGUUUUGAUCUCUCGUCAUGUGACACACUUUGAGGUGGAUUUAAGUGCGGAUGGAGUUCAGUUUUUCGACAAUUCAGAACAGUCUGAAUGCAUCCCUAUCUGUAUGAUAGUCCAUUCAGUGAGUGAGUCUACUGAUCUAUCCAAGUGCAAGCGUAUUUUACUUAAAGUGCGAAAACCUGUUAUUAUUGGCGUUGCUCAUUGCAAAACAAAACCAGACGUGAAGAAAUUCCUUGCCCCUUUGAUUCAAGAAUUAGUGCGACUUGAUCCGACGAAUCUGGAUGACCAAGUUACUGCUGGUCGACAAUUUACAGUGUCAAUUCGGUGCAUCAUAGCCGAUUGGCCUAUGCGAUCGUAUCUUAAACGAAUAAAGGGACAUUCAGGUUAUUGGUCCUGCGAACGCUGUAUUCAGGAAGGUGUACGAUGCAUUUAUCAUCCCACAGUGCCACUCAAAGCAGGAGAAGAGCCGAAAACUAGUAUUCAAUUUUUGGAACUGAACGCCCCCCCCCCCAAGAACUGAUGAGGAUUUUUUGUCAUAUUGUGAAAGCGAUGAAAGUAGAGAUAACCACAUAACUAAUAUUAACGAUAUUAGUCCAUGUGUUGAAUUGAAUGUUCCAAUGGUUACUGCAUUCCCCAUUGAACCGAUGCAUACAAUGUAUGCAUGUUGUUUUGGCAGAUUACUAAAGGGAAUAGUAUCAGUUCAAAAGGAGGGUAAAAUAAGCAAAAAUCUUUUGUCUUUAAUAGAUUCGAGACUGCGACUUUUCAAAAAGUGCAAGCCAUUUGAGUUUGACAGAUACCUUCGAUCACUUAAAAAUUGCGUAAACAAGUAUAAGCAUCAUGAAUUAAGAGAUUUGUUGAUUUACUUUCUUUUUCCAGUAUUUAGUGGCAUUUUGAGUGAAAAACAAUUUAACAACUUAAUGUUGCUUCAAUAUGCGAUGCUCUUAAUGGGAGGGUUUAACCCAAACCCGGUACCAAAAGAGAAUGCCUUGCGAGCAUCGCGUGUUUUGAAAUUUUUUGUUCAGCAACUUAUCGAUUUUGGCUAUCCAAUCAGGCCGACUACACACGCAGUUAUUCAUCUUCCGGAAGACGUUAUUCAUUUUGAUUGUGGAAUUGAAUCUUUGAGUGCUUUCCCUUACGAAAAUUUCUACAGAUUCUUUAGAAACAUUCUUUCUUCGGGAAAUAAACCUUUAGAGCAGAUAAGAAACAGAUUAGUAUAAAGAUCGAAGUAUCUUUUGCCCACUUCUUCUGAUGGAAUGAUCAUUAAUUCAUCACAACAGCUUUUGUUGGGAAAAGAGCAAGAAAUGAAUUCUAGUAACAAGGUCGUUUUAAGUUUCAAAAAUGAAAAAGGGCCCGAGAAGGAGAAAAAAAUCACGUUCCACGAUUUCGUUUUAUCAAACAAAUUCCCUAACAAUGUUGCUCUAAUGAAAAACGGAAAUGUAGUCGUCUGUACUGAUGUCAUCGAAAAUCCCCCGGAAAGUAAAGUGUUGCUCAUCAUUGGUUCCAAAUUUUCCUUAAAAAAAGAUGCGUUCCAUUAUCCUUAUCCCUCAUCUACCUAUGGGACUCAUAUUGUUUCUAAACUUGAAAAUAGAAUAGGUGAAUGGAAUUAAAAUUGCUUACAGGGGA
rnacentral:lncRNA from 1 species